UACGGGGGGAGCAAGCGUUGUUCGGAUUUACUGGGCGUAAAGGGCGCGUAGGCGGCCUGCUAAGUCGGGUGUGAAAACUCUGGGCUCAACCCAGAGCCUGCAUUCGAUACUGACGGGCUAGAGUACUGGAGGGGAAAGCGGAAUUCCUGGUGUAGCGGUGAAAUGCGUAGAUAUCAGGAGGAACACCGGUGGCGAAGGCGGCUUUCUGGACAGUAACUGACGCUGAGGCGCGAAAGCUAGGGGAGCAAACAGG
rnacentral:rRNA from 1 species